rnacentral:rRNA from 1 species
AUUGAACGCUGGCGGCAGGCCUAACACAUGCAAGUCGAGCGGCAGCACAAGGGAGUUUACUCCUGAGGUGGCGAGCGGCGGACGGGUGAGUAAUGCCUAGGGAUCUGCCCAGUCGAGGGGGAUAACAGUUGGAAACGACUGCUAAUACCGCAUACGCCCUACGGGGGAAAGAGGGGGACCUUUAGGCCUCUCGCGAUUGGAUGAACCUAGGUGGGAUUAGCUAGUUGGUGAGGUAAUGGCUCACCAAGGCGACGAUCCCUAGCUGUUCUGAGAGGAGGAUCAGCCACACUGGGACUGAGACACGGCCCAGACUCCUACGGGAGGCAGCAGUGGGGAAUAUUGCACAAUGGGGGAAACCCUGAUGCAGCCAUGCCGCGUGUGUGAAGAAGGCCUUCGGGUUGUAAAGCACUUUCAGUAGGGAGGAAAGGGUGAGUCUUAAUACGGCUCAUCUGUGACGUUACCUACAGAAGAAGGACCGGCUAACUCCGUGCCAGCCGCCGCAGUAA